AGUAUUCCAGCCGAGCUGGGGCGUCAGCAGUCUCGAGUUUGAGCACGAAGUAGCGCCUGUGCCCAUGCUUCUGUUUCCGCAGGUAGCCGCGUUUGCAGACUUCCUCCCCGACGGGCAGGUCCUCCUCUUCGGACUCGGAGUCUGACCGGGAGCCAGUGGCCGUGGAGAGCCACAUGGCUCCCGGACAAGACGACCCGGUCCCAAUGAGUGCGGUCGGGGUUCCCGAGGAAAGAAGCGGGGUGGUCACCACUGCUGCUAGAGCUGCCGCUGCCGCCGCUGCUGCACCUCUUAGUCUUCUUGUCGCUUGGUCGCGAGUGAAGGAGCAACUCGCCAUGGUGAUGCACGAUGGUUUUAAGUCUGGUUCAUUCUUUCCAGCCGCACAAGGCGGCGGAUCGAGCUUCUUGGGAGAAAGUGUCGGCACCCCCUGAAAACGGGUUGACGACCAGGGCGCUCAGAACUGCUUCCCACCGCUCUGCAGGCACUCCCGAGCCCGCUGCACCCCUGACAGAAGCCCGCGACUCUGAGGCACACGAAUAACAGCGAUGCAUUCA
ensembl:lncRNA IRS4-AS1 IRS4 antisense RNA 1